GGGCCUUUCCUUCGGGACAGGGGAGACAGGUGGUGCAUGGUUGUCGUCAGCUCGUGUCGUGAGAUGUUGGGUUAAGUCCCGCAACGAGCGCAACCCCUAUCUUCAGUAGCCAGCAUUACGGAUGGGCACUCUGGAGAGACUGCCAGGGACAACCUGGAGGAAGGUGGGGAUGACGUCAAAUCAUCAUGCCCCUUAUGGCCAGGGCUACACACGUGCUACAAUGGCGUAAACAAAGGGAAGCAGCCAUGUGAAUGUGAGCAAAUCCCAAAAAUAACGUCUCAGUUCGGAUUGUAGUCUGCAACUCGACUACAUGAAGCUGGAAUCGCUAGUAAUCGCGAAUCAGAAUGUCGCGGUGAAUACGUUCCCGGGUCUUGUACACACCGCCCGUCACACCAUGGGGGUCAGUAACGCCCGAAGCCGGUGACCUAACCGAAAGGGAGGAGCCGUCGAAGGUGGGACCGAUAACUGGGGUGAAGUCGUAACAAGGUAGCCGUAUCGGAA
rnacentral:rRNA from 1 species